UACGUAGGUGGCAAGCGUUGUCCGGAUUUAUUGGGUUUAAAGGGUGCGUAGGCGGUUCUUUAAGUCAGUGGUGAAAUACAGCCGCUUAACGGUUGAGGUGCCAUUGAUACUGAGGAACUUGAGUACAGUCGAGGUAGGCGGAAUUGACGGUGUAGCGGUGAAAUGCUUAGAUAUCGUCAAGAACACCGAUAGCGAAGGCAGCUUACUAGGCUGUAACUGACGCUGAGGCACGAAGGUGCGGGGAUCAAACAGG
rnacentral:rRNA from 1 species